GAUGAACGCUGGCGGCGUGCCUAAUACAUGCAAGUCGAGCGAACAGACGAGGAGCUCGCUCCUCUGACGUUAGCGGCGGACGGGUGAGUAACACGUGGAUAACCUACCUAUAAGACUGGGAUAACUUCGGGAAACCGGAGCUAAUACCGGAUAAUAUAUUGAACCGCAUGGUUCAAUAGUGAAAGACGGUUUUGCUGUCACUUAUAGAUGGAUCCGCGCCGCAUUAGCUAGUUGGUAAGGUAACGGCUUACCAAGGCGACGAUGCGUAGCCGACCUGAGAGGGUGAUCGGCCACACUGGAACUGAGACACGGUCCAGACUCCUACGGGAGGCAGCAGUAGGGAAUCUUCCGCAAUGGGCGAAAGCCUGACGGAGCAACGCCGCGUGAGUGAUGAAGGUCUUCGGAUCGUAAAACUCUGUUAUUAGGGAAGAACAAAUGUGUAAGUAACUAUGCACGUCGUGACGGUACCUAAUCAGAAAGCCACGGCUAACUACG
rnacentral:rRNA from 1 species